AUACGACCAAAAUCAGUCCUUUGCGCAUGUGAUAGCACUUCUCGCGCGACCUAUGCUGCAAGGUGUCGUGUUGUUUCAACCCACUUUAUUUGCUGUCGAUUAAUCUGUGUAUCGUGGAAUUAUCUCGUAGUCUCACUAAAGAGAACUAUAAUACUCAUUGAAACGUUUAUUGCAAUCAUUCAGUCCCGUAGCCAGUGCUCAAUUGUACCUAGAUAAUUCUCGAGAAAACUGACAUGUUGCAAUGAUUUAUGGAACGUUGCCCCAUGAGCUGGUUUGUUCGCAUGCAGUGCCAGCGGUGGGAGGGUGUUGACAUAUCACUUACAUGCAGACUGAAGAGAACACGAGAGACAAGUCCACGCUAGACCACAGCAGGCCACAUGGUGCAAUAUUAGAUUUAGCUGACUCGAAGAUUGUUUGGAACGAUCAAAGUGAAUAUAUGAGGUUGUGACUUUGGAAGUUUAGGAUAGUAUGUUUGAAAGGGCGGCCUCUGAUCCACAAGGUGUCGAAUGCGUAACUAUAUCCAGAAAAUCGCCCCAGUUAUUUUUUUCUCGGUUGUUUUUGUUGAUUCUUUAAACAACCUGGGGUAGAAGCAGUGUAGUUUGGUUCGUAAGUCGAAUUGCUCUUUUUGAAUCGGGUGGAGCUCAUUCACUUCUCGAACAGCCCUAGUGAGUUGUAUUUUGUUUAAGAGCGUGUCAACAAUGCCAAAUAAACUUCCGUGUCUUUAGGAUGAAUUCAACUUGCACAUUGCCGAUUUCACGCGAGUGUAUUUCCAUGCUGGUGGUAAGAAAACCACUGACAGUAAUCUAAGAAGGCUGUGUUAUGAAAAUGAAGUGAAGUGGCCGUUGAAG